UCAUUACCGAGUUUUCACAACUCCCAACCCUUGCGAACCGUACCCCAGUCUGUUCUCGUUGCUUCCGGCGGCGCGGGAGGGGGGGCGGCCCUUGACCGGGCCUCCCCCCUCCCCCCGCCGGGGGCGGCGGGCCCUCUGAACCUUUUUUUUAAAACGACCAGUCGCCGUCUGAGCAAACAAAAAAAAUUAUCAAAACUUUCAACAACGGAUCUCUUGGCUCUGGCAUCGAUGAAGAACGCAGCGAAAUGCGAUACGUAAUGUGAAUUGCAGAAUUCAGCGAACCAUCGAAUCUUUGAACGCACAUUGCGCCCGCCAGCAUUCUGGCGGGCAUGCCUGUCCGAGCGUCAUUUCCCCCCUCACGCGCCCCGUUGCGCGCUGGUGUUGGGGCCCCCCUCCCGCCCGGCGGGAGGGGCCCCGAAAGCGAGUGGCGGGCCUGGUCUGGCCGGCUCUGAGCGCAGUACCGAACGCAAGUUCUCCCCUCGCCCACGAGCCCCGCCGGCGCCCUGCCGUCAAGACGCGCGCAUGACGUGCAACUUUCUCACAAGGUU
rnacentral:rRNA from 1 species